rnacentral:rRNA from 1 species
UUACCGAGUUUACAACUCCCAAACCCCUGUGAACAUACCACUUGUUGCCUCGGCGGAUCAGCCCGCUCCCGGUAAAACGGGACGGCCCGCCAGAGGACCCCUAAACUCUGUUUCUAUAUGUAACUUCUGAGUAAAACCAUAAAUAAAUCAAAACUUUCAACAACGGAUCUCUUGGUUCUGGCAUCGAUGAAGAACGCAGCAAAAUGCGAUAAGUAAUGUGAAUUGCAGAAUUCAGUGAAUCAUCGAAUCUUUGAACGCACAUUGCGCCCGCCAGUAUUCUGGCGGGCAUGCCUGUUCGAGCGUCAUUUCAACCCUCAAGCACAGCUUGGUGUUGGGACUCGCGUUAAUUCGCGUUCCUCAAAUUGAUUGGCGGUCACGUCGAGCUUCCAUAGCGUAGUAGUAAAACCCUCGUUACUGGUAAUCGUCGCGGCCACGCCGUUAAACCCCAACUUCUGAAUGUUGACCUCGGAUCAGGUAGGAAUACCCGCUGAACUUAAGCAUA